UGCAUGACAGAAUUAAAAAAAACAACGAAACUACAAGUCCCUGUGUCAGGAAAUUCUGCCAUUACUAAUUUCAUUGUCAGGACUAAUAAUGAAUCCUCCUCAGAAAGUGCACUAAGUGAAAGUGUCCAUGACGUUUCCUGUGAUCCUGAAAGUCCCCACUCACCAACGAAGCGAUUCAAGCAGCGUUCUAGUGGGUUCGACAGUAGUUGGAAACAAGAUAUUCCAUGGGUCAAAUAAGUUGAAGGAGGUAUGAUGUGCGCUUUGUGCGUUCGUCACAUGUGCACACCAGCGCGUGCAACAGUUGGUUCCGCUCCGUGGGUAGAUGUGCCUUGAUGACGUGCCUUCCAUCUGUCUACAAAAGCUUGGAACGUGAGGCAGAAGAAUAAAAGAUUCAAGGGCAGCUGGCCUAUCCAAGUUCUCCCAGAACUACCAGUUUGUCUUUAGGUUUCACAUGAUGUGUGACGUGCUACCACAUUUAUCAGACCUAUCAAAGGCCAUUAAGUCCUUCAAUGCCUCUUGAAUACCCCAGGGGAACACUUCCAAUCACUGGCAAUCAGCCCCCGAAAGAGUGGCUCUUGUCCAUGCCGAGGGCUUUUGCAUCACUGUACCUAUUGCAGAGCAGGUCCAGCAGUUCAUUGACACGUAUAUGCUUUGGACAUGUAAUCAAGCAUCCGCAAGGGAUGGACGGACCACCCAAAACCAGUGAAUCCACCUUAACACUUCGUUAUCUGGGGGCAUAUGGAUACAAUAUUGCAUCCAUUGUAUUCAAUUACGAUCUUAAUGAACCAUGUUUAUUUUAAACAUAAAAAUAUCACCGAAGUCUAGAAAACAAAUAUAAGAGUAUGCAGGCCAUUCAUUUCAAAUUAUACAUAAAUUUUUGACAUGUCAAAUAAACAAAAAAUCUUGGCACAAGGGAUCUUGCUAGUGAAAGAUAUAUCAAUGAUAGAAGUCGCUUCUUUUAGGUUUUUGCUAAAACUUUAAAGAAAAUGUUUAAAAGCCAUUCCUUUAAGUCUGCUUUCCGCUCCCGAUCAAUUGAAAAUAAAUCCCACUCAAUGAUCCCUUUAUAAUUGACCUUUUAGAAGCCAUGUUCGUGUGGCAGAUUUAUUUUUGAUUAUAUUGAUCUUUAGAUUAAAAGUUAAAAUAGUUAAUAUCGUAAAUAGUAAAAUGUAACAUAUAUAAAAGCUAUUUGACGACAUGUGAUACAAAAAUCGUUGGCUUUUCAAGAAAAAAUAUGCUUCAAUAUAAAUUUCUUUAAAUGCAAACGAGAAAGCAUUUUUAAUUAUUUAGAAAAACUAUUCUUAACAAACAAACAAACGUUUUAUCACUCACACGCAAUUAAUGUUUUUCCGUUAAUUAAUUUGAAAUAAGUUUGAAUAUUAACUAAUAAUAUCAUAAAUCAAUUAAAAACAUACACUCACCUACCAAUUGCAAUACUUGUACAAGAGCCACACACCUUUCAGUAACGAACCAGGAAUUACUAGGUACAAAGUUGCAAGCGAAGGAACUAUGAUGUGCUUCGAAAAACAAAAUACAACGUGAAAUGGGCCAAUGACACUGAUACGCCCGCUGUAUGUUACUGUACACAGAAAUAGGUUCCGGUAUUGUGUAACAGACGUUAGGUAAACAAUUAACAUACCCUGUUUCUAACAGUCAUAUAAUAUACUUUUCAUUUAAGGCUUUUUUGAUAAUUGUGACAUUGACCUUAAAACAAGCAUCAUAGUAGUUGAAUACAAGAUGUCGUCUUAAUGUUUUAAGACAUUUUGCCAAUACACUAGGAAGAAAUAGAACCGAAAUUUAAAAUUAAUAUCUAUUAUUACUGCUUCUAUAAUAAUGACUAACUUCAAGAAUCCAAUGCUAUCUUGAAAUGGAUGCAAGCAACAGGAUUAUUACACUAGACAAGAAGUCUUCAUAUGGUAAUAGUUUUCACAAUUUAUGUCAAAAUAAUAUAAUGCACAUCAAAGUUAUGAGUCGAACACAAGAAUGGACAUUCUGUAUACAUAUAUAAAAUAUGCGAAAUCUCCAAAUGUCUAUUUUGAUGUUGACCGAAAGCAGGCAAAGUGGUAUUGCAUAAGACACAUUGUCUUUAUUUGAUGAUAAGUUGGGUCUAUUCUUGAAAACUCAUUAAGCACGACAAACGUUAUGGCCUGGCACAAAAUAU